GGGGAUGCUAGGCAUCGACGGUUAGUCGCGCCUCAUGUGUGCGUGUCGAAAUUGGUAAUCAAUUCGUUAAAAGGUUCCAGAGCCUGUCUAGUAUCUCAUCGGAGUCUAAAGUGGAGAAAAAUCUGAGAUAAAAAACGAGAUGGAAGACAAGAUGAACAACUGUUCAUUGCGUCUGAAUCGAAGUUUUUUAACCAGAUUUUUAUCCACGACGACCCGAAACGAGAACUUAGACAUAAAUCUCGUGGUGAGAUACUAGACAGGCUCGCAAUUGUACGUGCAAACAAAGCAGUACCAAGUCCUUACGCUCGCGCGUUUGGAUUCGCACCCGCUGUAGCGUAACCUUACGCUCGCCGAUGCGAUGCAGAAUUAGUAAACGUCUCAUACGCUAAUUUCUGUAGAAUAGACACGAGACUCUGGAAACCCUUGUCGUUGUCAUAGGUUUUCGAGCUUUGUAACAACUCGAGUGACUAGUGUUUUGUUCAUUCUAUAGCUAGUUACUUUAAAUCAAAGAACGUACUACACACGUAGAUGCACAUGGACGCCCUAAUUCGGACACGGGUUCAAUUCCCGUCAUCUCCACAA
rnacentral:tmRNA from 1 species